rnacentral:rRNA from 1 species
GACGAACGCUGGCGGCGUGCUUAACACAUGCAAGUCGAACGGAAAGGCCCUGCUUUUGUGGGGUGCUCGAGGGGCGAACGGGUGAGUAACACGUGAGUAACCUGCCCUUGACUUUGGGAUAACUUCAGGAAACUGGGGCUAAUACCGGAUAGGAGCUCCUGCUGCAUGGUGGGGGUUGGAAAGUUUCGGCGGUUGGGGAUGGACUCGCGGCUUAUCAGCUUGUUGGUGGGGUAGUGGCUUACCAAGGCUUUGACGGGUAGCCGGCCUGAGAGGGUGACCGGCCACAUUGGGACUGAGAUACGGCCCAGACUCCUACGGGAGGCAGCAGUGGGGAAUAGUGCACAAUGGGCGGAAGCCUGAUGCAGCAACGCCGCGUGCGGGAUGACGGCCUUCGGGUUGUAAACCGCUUCCGCCUGUGACGAAGCGUGAGUGACGGUACUGGAUAAAGAAGCACCGGCUAACUACGUG